GAGUCUUAUUAUCAAUCUCAUUUGAUGUCUGAUCCAUGAGUACCAAAAAACAAUGAAUGCAAUAGAUGAAAUAAAUCCUUUGGCACAGAUUUUGGUGUACAAAAGUCAAAACCAUGGAAGGUGGUCCAGUUAGUUUUGGAGAGCCAAAACAUUACAUUUAACCACAAGGAAGCGGCCAAGGUUUUCACCUUAGCUGCUACAGCAGCAGCAGUAGCUGUAAGUUCGUGCACCUAGGCAAAAUGAAAGGUGGUAAUGGGGUAUGGGAGGUGGGUCCUUUCUGCAUCACCAAACUGCAAUGCCGCCGAAACCAUCUACUGAACAAGGUUGGCAAUGUCAACUGCAUUUUAUGACACAAAACCAAACAAAGCUUAAGCUUUUGUGUAGAUAAGGCACCUGCAAAAUGAUAAAUGUUGGCUAAAUAUUAGCUAUGCUCUAGUCUUCCAUGGCCCCUACCAUUUAAGAACAUGAUCAGUCAGCCAUAUAAGUCCAUAUCAUAAUCUGGCUUUUUAUGUGGGAAGUUCAAAGCAAAACCAACAUACAUUCCUCUUUCCAUCACUAUUAGUAGUACUGGAAGGACAUCCUUCUCUAGUCUUUACCCUAUGUGCUCAAACAUUCCUGCUUCAUUUCAACUAUAGUUUUCUGCAUAUGGUUUCUCCACAACUAAAGUUUUCAACUUUCAUACGCAUUGAAAACCAAUUCUUUGUCAAGAUAUGGAAAGAGACACCCUUUUUUAUCUAUGAUGAAGUCCAAGGGGAAUAUAAGGCCCAAAAAAUAAGCCCAGGAAAUUAAGGGGUGGCUAAACCAGUAACCAGAGUAAAUGCAAAUCUGGGGUUGUCUCGUCUCUGCACUCGGCUCCCUCACCUCCUUGGAAAAGCCUAACCCUUAAAUCCUUUGAAUUUGUAUCUCUAAGCCAUUGACAUUAUCAUAUAAUCAGAUCCAUUGUUAACUCUUUUAUUUGAUCGUAAUUCCUGGUAGAGAAAAAAAGAAGAAGGGUAAGGGGAGCUUCCUGAAAUUCUUCUUAUAGCUGGUGAGUGUAAACAAACACGAUCUCUUUUUCUUUAGAUUUUUAAGUCCCUUUUUUUGUAUUAAUAUUUGAUGAGAUUUACGAAUUGGGUUUUGUAUUUUGCUUGUUUCUAGAUCAUUUCUCAAUCACAUUUUUGUUCUUUUUUCUUACUAACUAUUACUUUGUAUGUUUUUGCUAAUCUCUGUUUUGUCAAUACCUUGCUUAAAUUCAUGGUUUUUAAGAUUUGAUCAUAUCAAAAUCGAUUUUUUCUGCUCUAAUUCAUUUGGAUAUUCUAGACUUAGUUAUAAUGGUUCGGUGCUUUUAAGGUUUUUUUUCUUCUUUUAUGGAAAGAGUUAACUGGCUGUUCCAUAUAUGAACUUGGUUCUAGCCUUUUAGUCAAUUGCAAAAUAUAAAAUAAAAGGGCAGUUUGCUUGGUGAUUUAGUUUCUACUGGUGUCUCUUUGAUGCAAAACUGAGUCUAGUAUGCUAUAAUUUGAUCUCUCUUUGCAAGAUGCAGAUGCUCUACUUUAUGAUCAAGAGCAUAUUUUUUUUUCUUUGAAUGUUGAAAUUGAUUUACUUGGAUCUAUAGCUUACUUCCUGCUCAAAGUUCUCUAGUUCAUACAAUCAGAGUUUCUGUGUUUCAGUGAAUUUUUAUGAGCUGUUGACAUAGCAGUAAAAGUUUUCAAUCCUUAAAUUUAAAACAAAGAAUAAGACAAAAAAUAACUUUUUAAAAGAAUUCUUACAUUUAGAAGUGAAAGCACAAGGGCUUGUUUAUAUAUGAAGUUCUAUGUUGUUUCCGUACCAUGGUCCAGUGGUAAUAUUCAAAAGAUUGAACUAUCACAUGUUAUCUUAUAAGGUCUAGUGCAUAGUUGAUGCAUAUUAUUCAAUCAAACAUCUUAUAUUGCCCUUGCAGAUGAUUUAUUGCUUAUGAUUGAUUUCAUAGCUUUAUAAUUGCUGUUCAAAAGAUCUUAUCAAUUAUCAGUUCUUUGCUUCCAAAUUUGGCCUCUAGUUUUUUGUUAUCUAAUGACACUUAUAUCUGUUAACUUUUAAAGUUUAUACAAAAAUGAUGUGAUGUUUUACUGGUUAAGGGCAAGGACUAAACAUAGGAUUAGGAAUCUUAGGUGAGCUAUUAAUCUGUCACGGUUGUUGGGUGAGUUGUGUUUUUAUUUCCAAUCGAUUAUUUGGAUAUUUCACAUGAAUGAUCUGGCAUUUAUAAUAUGUCCUUGUUUUGAGCUUCUAAAAUCUAAGCAGUAGGAGCUUAAGUGGGAUUUCAGGUGCGAGGCAAGGUGUUAGCAAGUUGGAGAGAUCAAGGUACUGUUCCUUGCCUUCUAAGGAACUAUAUAAUUAAAAGACUUUAAUGAGUUGCAUAUUACUUGUUUCACUUAAUUGUUUGCUUUUCAAAUUCUGAUAAAUAUUUUACUUGUCUUGAAUAUUUUAGUCGGAGACAGACAGUUGUUUUACCCUGUACUGUAACGAUUAGUACUUUGGUUGGUUUUACAUGAGGGCCCUCCUCUUGUUACUGCAGGAACCAUAACGUACAUAUUCACUAGGAAAGUGAUUAGUACUACAUGCGUAGGGCGCUCAGGAUAGAUUUGUCUAUGUUGCAGGAGGGUGAAAGUGGAGUAGAGUUUAUUCCUUUUUUAUUCAAUUGACCUAAUAUUUGCUUCACAAGAAAGGUAUUUUUAUUCAUGUAAGCAAUUGCUGAAUGACACAUUUGUACUCUUUAUUCCUAUUUUAGCUUCCUUUUCCAGCUUGCCUUUAUUCUUUUCUUCGGUAAACCCGUUUCUGUUCUUGAGCAGGAUACAAGGUUGGUGCUUCUUAGGUGAUAACUUCGAGUACCAGAGAAGAAACUUAAUUCCGAGUGCUUUUCAUUGUUGAUAUGGUUAUAUAGAGUGACACUCGUAGGAAGGUUGUAAAAUGGCUUUUGUUUCAGAGGAAGAAAAAACUGAGGAUUACCUUUUCAAGAUCGUACUAGUUGGUGA
rnacentral:lncRNA from 1 species